rnacentral:rRNA from 1 species
AAAAACAGCGAGGGUUUGGUCUUUGCCCAGCCUUUAGCUUAGCGUUGGGUUUAUACAUGUUAGCUCUGUGGAGCGUUCAGGUGACGACGUUAUAAGCGGAAAAGCG